GAGUUUGAUCCUGGCUCAGGAUGAACGCUGGCGGCGUGCCUAACACAUGCAAGUCGAGCGAGAAAGAGAGCUUCGGCUCUUGAGUAAAGCGGCGAACGGGUGCGUAACACGUGGGCGAUCUACCCUUUAGAUGGGGAUAACUUAACGAAAGUUGAGCUAAUACCCAAUAAGACCACGAAAAGCAAUUUUUGAGGUCAAAGAGUGCUUCUUCUGGAAGCAUUCGCUAAGGGAAGAGCCCGCGACCUAUCAGCUUGUUGGUAGGGUAACGGCCUACCAAGGCGAAGACGGGUAGCUGGUCUGAGAGGAUGACCAGCCACACGGGGACUGAGACACGGCCCCGACUCCUACGGGAGGCAGCAGUGGGGAAUAUUGGGCAAUGGGGGAAACCCUGACCCAGCGACGCCGCGUGGGUGAUGAAGGCCUUCGGGUCGUAAAGCCUUGUCAAGAGGAACGAAUGACUUUGAGGUAAAUAGCCUCAAGGAGUGACGGUACCUCUGAAGGAAGCACCGGCCAACUCCGUGCCAGCAGCCGCGGUAA
rnacentral:rRNA from 1 species